UCCGCUCCCCGGGCAGUCGCUGGUUUCACUUCGGUGGGACUGGAGGAAAGUCCGGACACUACAGAGCAGUGUGCCCUAUGAAAAUGGGGGACGGUGGAUCGAGAGAGACACCGGACAGAUAGUGCCGCAGAAAUUAAACCGCCUUCUUUGGGAGGUAAGGGUGAAAAGGUGGGGUAAGAGCCCACCGCGCCGAGGGUAACUUAGGUGGCUUGGUAAACCUCUCACAGUGCAAGACAGAACAGGGGAAGGGCUGCUCGUCCGUCUGACCCCCGGGUAAUAGUCGCAUAGAUAAAUGACUGCCAAGGCUGGUAAUUGGACCAGCUAAACAGAAUCCGGCUUAUAGGGGAGCGGCCUCU
rnacentral:RNase_P_RNA from 1 species